GGUGGGUUGCGCCGAAUGGCAAGGCACUAGUCUUGAAAACUAGCGGGCAGCAAUGCCCUUAGAGGUUCGAGUCCUCUACCCACCG
rnacentral:tRNA from 1 species